rnacentral:rRNA from 1 species
UAGGUUAAUGAGGCGAACCGGGGGAACUGAAACAUCUAAGUACCCCGAGGAAAAGAAAUCAACCGAGAUUCCCCCAGUAGCGGCGAGCGAACGGGGAGCAGCCCAGAGCCUGAAUCAGUAUGUGUGUUAGUGGAAGCGUCUGGAAAGGCGCGCGAUACAGGGUGACAGCCCCGUACACAAAAAUGCACAUGCUGUGAGCUCGAUGAGUAGGGCGGGACACGUGGUAUCCUGUCUGAAUAUGGGGGGACCAUCCUCCAAGGCUAAAUACUCCUGACUGACCGAUAGUGAACCAGUACCGUGAGGGAAAGGCGAAAAGAACCCCGGCGAGGGGAGUGAAAAAGAACCUGAAACCGUGUACGUACAAGCAGUGGGAGCACGCUUAGGCGUGUGACUGCGUACCUUUUGUAUAAUGGGUCAGCGACUUAUAUUCUGUAGCAAGGUUAACCGAAUAGGGGAGCCGAAGGGAAACCGAGUCUUAACUGGGCGUUAAGUUGCAGGGUAUAGACCCGAAACCCGGUGAUCUAGCCAUGGGCAGGUUGAAGGUUGGGUAACACUAACUGGAGGACCGAACCGACUAAUGUUGAAAAAUUAGCGGAUGACUUGUGGCUGGGGGUGAAAGGCCAAUCAAACCGGGAGAUAGCUGGUUCUCCCCGAAAGCUAUUUAGGUAGCGCCUCGUGAAUUCAUCUCCGGGGGUAGAGCACUGUUUCGGCAAGGGGGUCAUCCCGACUUACCAACCCGAUGCAAACUGCGAAUACCGGAGAAUGUUAUCACGGGAGACACACGGCGGGUGCUAACGUCCGUCGUGAAGAGGGAAACAACCCAGACCGCCAGCUAAGGUCCCAAAGUCAUGGUUAAGUGGGAAACGAUGUGGGAAGGCCCAGACAGCCAGGAUGUUGGCUUAGAAGCAGCCAUCAUUUAAAGAAAGCGUAAUAGCUCACUGGUCGAGUCGGCCUGCGCGGAAGAUGUAACGGGGCUAAACCAUGCACCGAAGCUGCGGCAGCGACGCUGAUGCGUUGUUGGGUAGGGGAGCGUUCUGU